rnacentral:lncRNA from 1 species
CUAUUACAUGUUCUUUUUGACAUACUACAUAAUAUUCAUCUUUUUUCCUAGUAAAAAUAUUUUUUAUUGUUGGUAUUUUAAAUAUUUUCUCUACACUUAAAUCUAAUUCUUUUCCUUUUAUUUCAUCAAAUAUAUUACUGUCAAAUAUUAUUUUUUGUUCCGUUCCUUCAUCAUUUAAAUAUUCUUCCUUUGUUAUUAUUUUUAUAUCUUCUUCAGUCAUUUGAUUCAUCUAUUUCGCUAUCUAUUUCAUUAUCUGUUUCGUUUUCUGAAAUUUCAUAUAUACUAUCUUCGCUUUCUAAUUCAUAAUCUAUAUAAUCUAUCUGCAUAUAUUCUGUAUUAUCUAUUCUUAUUUCUGAUAUUUGUUUAUUUUUUGGAUUUUUAGGUAAUUUACAAUCUCUAGCUAAAUGUCCUAACUUUUCACAAUUAUAACAAAUACAUUCUUUUAUAGAUUU